UACGUAGGGGGCAAGCGUUAUCCGGAUUUACUGGGUGUAAAGGGAGCGUAGACGGCGAUGCAAGUCUGAAGUGAAAGGCGGGGGCCCAACCCCCGGACUGCUUUGGAAACUGUAUGGCUGGAGUGCAGGAGAGGUAAGUGGAAUUCCUAGUGUAGCGGUGAAAUGCGUAGAUAUUAGGAGGAACACCAGUGGCGAAGGCGGCUCUCUGGCCUGUAACUGACACUGAGGCUCGAAAGCGUGGGGAGCAAACAGG
rnacentral:rRNA from 1 species